GACAGAGGUGCCAAGCGUUAGGCGGAAUCACUGGGCUUAAAGCGUGUGUAGGCGGCCCGUUAAGUGUCUUGUGAAAUCCCCCGGCUCAACCGGGGAACUGCUGGGCAUACUGGCGGGCUUGGGUCGCUCAGGGGCAGACGGAACAGGCGGUGGAGCGGUGAAAUGCGUAGAUAUCGCCUGGAACGCCGAAGGUGAAAACAGUCUGCUGGGGGCGCACCGACGCUGAGACACGAAAGCCAGGGGAGCGAACGGG
rnacentral:rRNA from 1 species